GGACUACUCGGGUAUCUAAUCCUGUUUGCUCCCCUUGCUUUCGCGCAUUAGCGUCAGGAAUAAGCUAGAAAAUCGCCUUCGCCACUGGUGUUCUUCCACAUAUCUACGCAUUUCACCGCUACUUGUGGAAUUCCAUUUUCUCCGCCUACCCUCAAGAAAGACAGUUUCAAAUGCUGUUCCGGAGUUGAGCUCCGGGAUUUCACAUCUGACUUAUCUUCCCGCCUACGCGCCCUUUACGCCCAAUAAAUCCGAUUAAUGCUUGCACCCUCCGUAUUACCGCGGCUGCUGGCAC
rnacentral:rRNA from 1 species